rnacentral:rRNA from 1 species
GACGAACGCUGGCGGCGUGCUUAACACAUGCAAGUCGAACGGAAAGGCCCCUUCGGGGGUACUCGAGUGGCGAACGGGUGAGUAACACGUGGGCAAUCUGCCCUGCACUUCGGGAUAAGCCUGGGAAACUGGGUCUAAUACCGGAUAGGACCUUUCGACGCAUGUCUUUUGGUGGAACUCUUUUGCGGUGUGGGAUUGUCCCUCGGCCUAUCGGCUUGUUGGUGGGUUGAUGGCCUACGAAGGAGACGACGGGUCGCCGGCCUGAGAGGGUGUCCGGCCACACUGGGACUGAGAUACGGCCCAGACUCCUACGGGAGGCAGCAGUGGGGAAUAUCGCACAAUGGGCGCAAGCCUGAUGCAGCGACGCCGCGUGGGGGAUGACGGCCUUCGGGUUGUAAACCUCUUUCACCAUCGACGAAGGUUCGGGUUUUCUCGGACUGACGGUAGGUGGAGAAGAAGCACCGGCCAACUACGUGCCAGCAGCCGCCGUAA